rnacentral:rRNA from 1 species
CCUACGGGAGGCAGCAGUGAGGAAUAUUGGUCAAUGGGCGAGAGCCUGAACCAGCCAAGUCGCGUGAGGGAGUACUGCCCUAUGGGUUGUAAACCUCUUUUGUCGGGGAGCAAAAGCCGGACGUGUCCGGCUGUGAGAGUACCCGAAGAAAAAGCAUCGGCUAACUCCGUGCCAGCAGCCGCGGUAAUACGGAGGAUGCGAGCGUUAUCCGGAUUUAUUGGGUUUAAAGGGUGCGCAGGCGGAUUUUUAAGUCAGCGGUCAAAUCGUGGGGCUCAACCCCAUCCAGCCGUUGAAACUGGGGGUCUAGAGUGGGCGAGAGGGAUGCGGAAUGCGUGGUGUAGCGGUGAAAUGCAUAGAUAUCACGCAGAACCCCGAUUGCGAAGGCAGCAUACCGGUGCACAACUGACGCUCAGGCACGAAAGCGUGGGUAUCGAACAGGAUUAGAUACCCCUGUAGUC